UUUAAUUCGAAGCAACGCGAAGAACCUUACCAAAUCUUGACAUCCUUUGAAAACUCUAGAGAUAGAGCCUUCCCCUUCGGGGGACAAAGUGACAGGUGGUGCAUGGUUGUCGUCAGCUCGUGUCGUGAGAUGUUGGGUUAAGUCCCGCAACGAGCGCAACCCUUAAGCUUAGUUGCCAUCAUUAAGUUGGGCACUCUAGGUUGACUGCCGGUGACAAACCGGAGGAAGGUGGGGAUGACGUCAAAUUAUCACGCCCCUUAUGAUUUGGGCUACACACGUGCUACAAUGGACAAUACAAAGGGCAGCUAAACCGCGAGGUCAUGCAAAUCCCAUAAAGUUGUUCUCAGUUCGGAUUGUAGUCUGCAACUCGACUACAUGAAGCUGGAAUCGCUAGUAAUCGUAGAUCAGCAUGCUA
rnacentral:rRNA from 1 species